rnacentral:lncRNA from 1 species
AACUGCCCCUUGUUGGAGCCUUGGAACAAAAGUAGACCAAAGCUUCCCCUACAAGCAUCAGACAUACAGGAGGAACAAAAUUUGACUUCACCAGAUUCAAACAAAACCAGUAAUGAAAUUCAAAAUGUGAUUCCUCCAACCAAUUCUCGUCCCCAGUGCAAUUACUGCGGUACGUUUGCAAGCCUAUACUAGCUCCAUGCAUUUGAAUGUAUGCCAGCCUAUGAAGCCUAGAUACGAGAUACGAUACGGAUACGAUACGACACAGAUACGAAGAUACGGAAAAUUUUUAAAAUUAAAGAUACAAUACGUCUUGGAUACGUUAAUAAAACAUAUAAAAAGUUAUAUAUAGUUUCAGAUUUUUUUUCUAGAACAGUUUGAUUUUUCAUUGGAAUAGCUUCAAAUUCAUAUUAAAAAAUAAAACAUGAAAAAUCAGGACAUAAUAUCAAUGUUGCCUAGACUAGAAAAUGAUAUGAAGCUUGAGAUUUAGAAUUCUGAUAUGAAGCUGCAUGUUCAAAACAAAAGUAAAAAUACGAAAAAUGGGAACCCCAACGUCCAACAGGAUACCUCGUUUCCAACACAGGCAAUUGAUGGACAACCCAUGAUCACCCCAUUAUCUUUUCUGGACUCACGACGCCGUUCCAAUGAUGACGCCGCUCCAUGGGAAGUACUGGUCCAGUGGCAAUGAUUAUCCCCGGACGACACCUCUUGGGAAGAUUGGGAGCAGUUGCGUGACACAUAUCACCUUGAGGACAAGGUGCUUUUCCAAAGACCAGGGAAACCAAAUUGAUAGGUGCAGGGGAUGUCUGGCUUUGAGGACCAGUGCCUCCAGAACUAAGAAAGGAGAAGAGAAUUGCAAUAAAAAGGAAAAGUAUUAUUUUCAUAUCUUGAUUGUUUGAUUACAUAGGUAUUUAUAACAAUUCCUAAUAACAAAUUUUGGACUGGCUUGUGUGCAGGAAUAUUCCUAUAACAGAAUUAGUUUGUAUUUGUCUGGCUGAGAGAGACAAUUCCAAUCAAGCUAGAUAUGGAGUAGUGCUAGCUGAAUUUGCUGAAGAUUCAAUCCCUGGUUUACCCUUAUGCGUAAUCAUCCAAGUAUGCGGGCCUUGUCACCUUUCGUUUGGGCUUCUCUACUAACUGCAACCUCUGUUCAUCCUUGUUGGUAAGUUCCUUCCUUGUCCCUGUGUCUAUGUUUGAGAUCUCUGUUGCUCUAUCAUUGGUGCAAAAUUUAAAAUUGGAGAUAUGGUAAGUGUAGGAUGCAUGAUUGGAUAUUGUCACUAAUAAGCUCUAACGAUGAUCUUGAGAGUUAUUGCUCCCAAGCGAUUCUUACAUAUGAAGUAUUGGAGUGAGUGAGAUAAAGUCCUAUACAUCAUGAAAAAAUUUG